UUGAACGCUGGCGGCAUGCCUUACACAUGCAAGUCGCACGGUAACGGGCCUUCGGGUGCCGACGAGUGGCGAACGGGUGAGUAAUACAUCGGAACGUGCCCGAUCGUGGGGGAUAACGAGGCGAAAGCUUUGCUAAUACCGCAUACGAUCUACGGAUGAAAGCAGGGGACCGCAAGGCCUUGCGCGGACGGAGCGGCCGAUGGCAGAUUAGGUAGUUGGUGGGAUAAAAGCUUACCAAGCCGACGAUCUGUAGCUGGUCUGAGAGGAUGAUCAGCCACACUGGGACUGAGACACGGCCCAGACUCCUACGGGAGGCAGCAGUGGGGAAUUUUGGACAAUGGGCGCAAGCCUGAUCCAGCCAUGCCGCGUGCAGGAUGAAGGCCUUCGGGUUGUAAACUGCUUUUGUACGGAACGAAAAGCCUUCUUUUAAUACAGGAGGGUCAUGACGGUACCGUAAGAAUAAGCACCGGCUAACUACGUG
rnacentral:rRNA from 1 species